UACGUAGGGGGGCAAGCGUUGUCCGGAUUUAUUGGGCGUAAAGAGCGUGUAGGCGGCCAGGUAGGUCCGUUGUGAAAACUCGAGGCUCAACCUCGAGACGCCGAUGGAAACCAUCUAACUAGAGUCCGGAAGAGGAGAGUGGAAUUCCUGGUGUAGCGGUGAAAUGACGCAGAUAUCAGGAAGAACACCCGUGGCUAAGGCGGCUCUCUAGUACGGUACUGACGCUGAGACGCGAAAGCGUGGGGAGCGAACAGG
rnacentral:rRNA from 1 species